GACGAACGCUGGCGGCGUGCCUAACACAUGCAAGUCGAACGGAACUUACCGAAUGAAGUUUUCGGAUGGAUUUUGAUAAGUUUAGUGGCGGACGGGUGAGUAACGCGUGAGUAACCUGCCUUCAAGAGGGGAAUAACGUUCUGAAAAGAACGCUAAUACCGCAUAACAUACGGAUGUCGCAUGGCAAACCGUAUCAAAAGAUUAUAUCGCUUGAAGAUGGACUCGCGUCCGAUUAGCCAGUUGGCGGGUAACGGCCCACCAAAGCGACGAUCGGUAGCCGGACUGAGAGGUUGAAACGGCCACAUUGGGACUGAGACACGGCCCAG
rnacentral:rRNA from 1 species